GAAAAAAUAAAAAACAAACCCAAGACCCAAGCAAAGGACAGGCGGAGACUGGCCGUCAUGCGUGAGCCUCAUGAAAGAAAGAUCCUCACACUGCUGGAUGCUCUGAGUAUGGUGCACAGUCAGAAGAUGAAGAAGGCCAAGGAGCAGCGGCACCUGCACAAUAAAGAGCACUUCAGAGCCAAGCAGAAGGAGGAGGAGGAGAAGCUGAAGUGGCAGAAGGACCUCAGGAAGAAGCUCUUCCAAAUUCAGGGGCAGAAGGAAAGAAGAAACCAGAAGUCCAGUUUGAAGGGGGCUGAGGGCCAGUUUCAGUGAGCCUUUGGACUGGAGGGACUGUCCCUGGAUCUGCAGAGGUGGACAGUUUCAAACAUCACAGUUUGAAUGCCUGUGAAUGACAAGUCAGUGGGCAAGAACUCAAGAGAUGUCUCUACACAAACUGUGCCUGCAAGAGGAACAGAGAAGCCUGGACUACUUGGACCGGGUUCAUUCUCAUCACUUGGGGCUGUCGAGAUUUAAAGUGAUGUAAGCUGUGGUUGUGUGGAUUCUCUUACUUUCCUCUGCCUGCCUCAGUUUAAUUAUUUUGUCCUGCAAAAAUACCAUUAAAUUUUUUUUUGUUA
rnacentral:lncRNA from 1 species